AUUUUUUCCAUACAACGAGGAGAUGUAAUUCUAGAGCCUAGAAUGUUGAAGUCAUGGAUCAGGCUCAUCCUUGACCAUCCCCAAUUGCUGUCUCGUCGAAGACAUCCUUUUGAUGGGAACGCUCUCUCUCCAUCCGGGGUGACAAAAACCCUCGGCUGCGUAACAAAUCCAAACCACAUGACUGCGGAGUAUAUGCAUCAAAAUUCAGAAGGCAAAAACUGAUUCUCUAUUAUAGCCUCCAAAACAAUUCGCAGGAGCAGGUGUGCUGCCCUCUAACAAGUUCCCUCUGGUUACUGCAAACCACCAUCCCAGAUCAUCAAGCUAAGCUAUAUAGUAUCGAAGUGGUUCAUAUUACUAGUUCCUACAGAAAAGAGGUCAUUGGACCAUUAGCCAAUGACAUAUCCAACUUUUUAAAGUAUACAUGAUUCUGGAAACACCAAAAAUUCAUAAUUCUAAUCCUACCAAGAGCAUCUAUAGCGGAGCUGCUUCAAGACAAAGAGUUACCGUUCUUGUAUUAUGGCACCACGGAUGUGUGCCAUCUAAAAAGCCUCGCACUUCAGCGUUCACGGCAGUAUCAAGCCUUAGUUGAUGGCCACUUUGUUAAAUUAAUUUGCUUUGAAUGUCAAUGAAGUAGUCGUCAAUUUCUGCAA